GGUUGCAUAUAAUACAUGGUAUUUUUUUUUUUGUAUCUUCAUAUAUGUGUUCAUGUAGUAUAAUUGCAUUUUUUCUUAUUUUUGCAUGAAUCUGUGUGAUAGGUUGGUGUGGUCUUAGCUCGGCCUAUGAUAAGAUUGGUUUUGCAUGUUAACUUGAACAGUGUUGAUAAUUGAUGAUGAGUUCUAAUUUUAAUCAUGAUGAUAAUUUGAGCCUGUCUGAAACUUAUGUAACCGAUUAGCACUUAAAGAUUAACUGUUUUAAUCCACUUGGUUCAAGGGUUUCAUAAUUUGUUUCUGAGGGAAAAUCUUUGUUAAAAUUUAAGGAAAUUAGUGAACUGGCGGUAAAGGUUGGAAUGACGUAAAAGCUUGAGUUUGGGGGAAUCUAUGGGAUAUAUAUACUAAAAAAAAUUGAUGAAGAAAAAAAAAUAGAAAAUCCAGAAAAAAAAAAAAGAAAAAAAAAGAGAAAAACCGUGGUUAGUUUUGUUUCGGGGCCUUUGUUACUUGAGCAAGUACGCCCGAAGGGGUGUCUUAACACCUAGCGCCCUAAGGUCUUAUAUGGUCUGGGAGUUGUUGGUUGAAAGCUCGCUAAGGGGUGGCACUGUUAGCCUAAUGGAAUGAGACAUUGCACAGCAAUGAAAAAAAAAAGCACGAGAAAGAGCAAAAAUGCCCUCGCGGUUGAAUAAAAGUAUAAAUAAAUCUUGUAUUUACCCUUAGAUUUGGUAAUUGCUUAGUUUUAACCGGAG
rnacentral:lncRNA from 1 species